GCCAAUGAUGACAAUUUGGAUUCGACUGAAUUGCAAAUAUUAAUCUUUGCUCCUUGUUGAUAUCCAUGAACUAGGACGGUCUGAGGC
rnacentral:snoRNA from 1 species